GAUGAGCGCUGGCGGCGUGCCUAAUACAUGCAAGUCGAGCGAAUGGAUUAAGAGCUUGCUCUUAUGAAGUUAGCGGCGGACGGGUGAGUAACACGUGAGUAACCUGCCCAUAAGACUGGGAUAACUCCGGGAAACCGGGGCUAAUACCGGAUAACAUUUUGAACCGCAUGGUUCGAAAUUGAAAGGCGGCUUCGGCUGUCACUUAUGGAUGGACCCGCGUCGCAUUAGCUAGUUGGUGAGGUAACGGCUCACCAAGGCAACGAUGCGUAGCCGACCUGAGAGGGUGAUCGGCCACACUGGGACUGAGACACGGCCCAGACUCCUACGGGAGGCAGCAGUAGGGAAUCUUCCGCAAUGGACGAAAGUCUGACGGAGCAACGCCGCGUGAGUGAUGAAGGCUUUCGGGUCGUAAAACUCUGUUGUUAGGGAAGAACAAGUGCUAGUUGAAUAAGCUGGCACCUUGACGGUACCUAACCAGAAAGCCACGGCUAACUACGUGCCAGCAGCCGCAGUAA
rnacentral:rRNA from 1 species